GAAAAAGAGAAAAAGCUUCCAUGGUCAACUACGUCAUUACUUUUGCCUUCUUCCUCCCUCUUCGAUGGGCACUUGGAAAACAUGCCACCACCCUCCAUCCUUUUUCCUCUACUAAAAACCUGUCAUCCUACCAUCUCCUUCCCCAAGUCAGAAAUUCAAAAUAUUUACUCCUUCCUUCCCAACUACUGAAUUAGUGUUCCUAAUUCCCCGAUAAAUGGCCAUAAAAUCCAUCACCAAGAACACAACAAUUUUACAAACUUCAUCCUCUCACCUCUCACUUCACCACCAUCUACGAACCACCUUACUAACACCACAAAUUUCAGUCAACAAUUCGCCGGAAAACGUGACCCAAAGAAACCCAAAAAGAAAACUCCUUUCUCUCUCCCUCCUCUGUUUCGGAUUUCAAACACCACCACCACUGUCUGCCGACCGGCUCGCAUGACGCCAAGUCAGCCGCCAGUCACUUGUACGACACUUGCCAGCCACCCGCAGCUCGCCAGAGCUCCACUCGCACUUUCGCGUCCUCUCCUCUGUCUCGUCGCUCCUCUACACGGGUGGAUGUAUCGCGGGACACCACCGAUGCCGGGGACCGACGUCGUUCCUCGCCGCCAUUGCCGCUCGUCGCCGUCGUUUGCCGGAGCCACCCUCUCGUCUCGAUCGUUGUCGCCCUUGCUCUUAGUAGCAGAGAUGCCCAGUUAGCAGUAGUGUUUUUCAGGGCAUCAUGAAUUGUAUUGGACUAAAGAAGUAUACACAUGAACAUCUAUAAACUAGCUGGAAAAGAUGGGGAAGAAAGUUUAGACAGAAGAAGAAACAAAAGGUGGAUUAUGCUAUUCAUUCUGCCCUUGUGUAUCACAUCUGGAGAUGCAGAAAUCAUGCUCUUUGGCAUGAAGCAGUUAGAAGGCUUGAAUUUGUUGUGAAAGAUAUUCAAAUUGAUGUCCUGUGUAGAAUUCAGACAAGUGUUGAUGUAAAAUGGACUAUAUAAGAAAGGUGUUAGCUGCAAUAGUUGAAUGUGUAAGGUCUGCUGUUUGUAGUUA